rnacentral:rRNA from 1 species
AGUGGGGAAUUUUGCGCAAUGGGGGAAACCCUGACGCAGCAACGCCGCGUGCGGGAUGAAGUCCUUCGGGACGUAAACUCCUUUCGAUCGGGACGAUUAUGACGGUACCGGAAGAAGAAGCCCCGGCUAACUUCGUGCCAGCAGCCGCGGUAAUACGAGGGGGGCGAGCGUUGGUCGGAAUUAUUGGGCGUUAAGGGUGCGUAAGCGGUUUGGUAAGUCUUAUGUGAAAUCUAUGGGCUCAACUCAUAGACUGCAUGAGAAACUGCCGGGCUUGAGUAUGGGAGAGGUGAGUGGAAUUCCUG